AUGGGGGGGCACCAGGUGCCCACUAGCCCAGCGCCUCCACUCAGUUACAAGACAUCUGAGGAGCGCCCCGCCCUGCCCCACGGUGCCCCCCAGCAGACAGGCAGAUCACAUGGCUGCCAUGAGGGGGUUAUAAACUCCCCCCACGGAUGGGCACAGUUGUGCCCAACCCCAGGGGCUGAUGGGAUUGAGCUGGGGGGGUGCAGUAAAGGUGCAGGAAGCAGCCUGGGGGGGGAACUGAGGCUGGCAGUGGGUCCUGGGGGGCCCCAGGCUGGGGGGGGCGUGUUAUCGGCCAGCCACUUAACACAAUUAAUUAAUGGAACAAGAGACCCUGAGCUGCAUGGAACAGGCCACUGGAGGCGCAGGGCCCCACCAGCCACUGGGGAGGGGGGUUACCCACAAUGCCCCUCUCCCGUGGCCAGGCAGGGCCCCACCAGCCACUGGGGAGGGGUAUUUACCCACAAUGCCCCUCUCCCGCGGCCAGCCAGGGACUCACCUGGCAGUGGGGGGGGGGUAUUUACCCACAAUGCCCCUCUCCCACUGCCAGGCAGGGCCCCACCAGCCACUGGGGGGGUAUUUACCCACCAUGCCCCUCUCCCGCGGCCAGGCAGGGCCCCACCAGCCACUGGGGGGGUAUUUACCCACAAUGCCCCUCUCCCGCGGCCAGGCAGGGCCCCACCAGCCACUGGGGGGGGGGUUUACUCACCAUGCCCCUCUCCCGCGGCCAGGCAGGGCCCCACCAGCCACUGGGGGGGUAUUUACCCACAAUGCCCCUCUCCCGUGGCCAGGCAGGGCCCCACCAGCCACUGGGGGGGUAUUUACCCACCAUGCCCCCAGAGCCCUGGGCUGAUACCCGACUGCAGCAGGCCCAGGGCCCGCCCAGAUGACUGCCCCACUCAUGACAGGGCAGGGGCGCGCUGCCCCCCAGUGUCCAGGCUGGGAACUGCAGCUGCCCUCAAUAACUGAAGGGAUGCGAUUAAUUGCCCCAAGCCCUGAGCCGGGGGCCGUGGACAAAGCUCAGUCACAGAGUCCAACCCCAGCAGGGGGCGUCGGGGGGGGGGAUCCUGGUCCAUCUUCGGGGGCUGGUGGGGCUGGGGGGGUGUGGGGAUCAUCCAUCUUCCUCCGGCUCUGAGCCCGGGCCAGCCGACUCCGCCAUCAGCUCCUCCGCCGCACUGCCUGGGGGGGGGACAGAUGUGGGUGCUGCUGGCACCCCCCAAUCCCAACCCGCAGCUCCCUCCCCACUCCACCAGCGCCCCCCAUCAAACCUGCACCCCCUCUCACUCCACCAGCGCCCCCCAUCCCAACCUGCACCCCCUCUCACUCCACUAGCG
rnacentral:lncRNA from 1 species